rnacentral:rRNA from 1 species
AUGGCGGCGACGCGCGCGAUCUCCGACUCCACGGCGCCGCUCACCAUCGAGACCUCGAUGCCCUUCACGGCCCACAUCGUCGACCCGCCCUCCCGCGACGUCGCCACCACCCCCGCCGAGCUCGUCGCCUUCUUCCACGACAUGUCCCUCAUGCGCCGCAUGGAGAUCGCCGCCGACUCGCUCUACAAGGCCAAGCUCAUCCGCGGCUUCUGCCACCUCUACGACGGCCAGGAGGCCGUCUGCGCCGGCAUGGAGGCCGCCAUCACCCGCAAGGACUCCAUCAUCACCGCCUACCGCGACCACUGCAUCUUCCUCUCCCGCGGCGGCGACCUCGUCACCGCCUUCGCCGAGCUCAUGGGCCGCCAGGUCGGCUGCUCCCGCGGCAAGGGCGGAUCCAUGCAUUUUUACAAGAAGGACGCCAACUUCUACGGCGGCCACGGGAUCGUCGGCGCCCAGGUGCCCCUCGGCUGCGGCCUCGCCUUCGCGCAGAAGUACAGGAAGGAGGACACCGUCUCCUUCUCCCUCUACGGCGAUGGCGCCGCCAACCAGGGCCAGCUCUUUGAGGCGCUCAACAUCUCGGCCCUCUGGAAGCUGCCCGCCAUACUCGUCUGCGAGAACAACCAUUACGGGAUGGGAACGGCUGAGUGGAGGGCGGCCAAGAGCCCCUCCUACUACAAGCGUGGUGACUAUGUGCCUGGAUUGAAGGUCGACGGAAUGGAUGUUCUUGCUGUGAAGCAGGCAUGCAAAUUUGCGAAGGAGCAUGCCAUUGCAAAUGGCCCAAUUGUUCUUGAAAUGGACACGUAUAGGUACCACGGCCACUCUAUGUCAGAUCCAGGAAGCACUUACCGCACCAGGGAUGAGAUCUCGGGUGUAAGACAGGAGCGUGAUCCAAUUGAAAGGGUUAGAAAGUUGCUCUUGGCUCAUGACCUAGCAACCCCUGCUGAGCUCAAGGACAUGGAGAAAGAAAUUAGGAAAGAAGUCGACGCUGCCAUUGCUAAAGCCAAGGAAAGUCCUAUGCCUGAUGCUUCUGAGCUCUUUACAAAUGUCUACGUCAAGGGUUUCGGCGUUGAGUCAUUUGGCGCAGAUAGAAAGGAGUUGAGAGCUACACUCCCAUAG